rnacentral:rRNA from 1 species
GAUGAACGCUGGCGGCGUGCCUAAUACAUGCAAGUCGAGCGAACAGACGAGGAGCUUGCUCCUCUGACGUUAGCGGGGGACGGGUGAGUAACACGUGGAUAACCUACCUAUAAGACUGGGAUAACUUCGGGAAACCGGAGCUAAUACCGGAUAAUAUAUUGAACCGCAUGGUUCAAUAGUGAAAGACGGUUUUGCUGUCACUUAUAGAUGGAUCCGCGCCGCAUUAGCUAGUUGGUAAGGUAACGGCUUACCAAGGCAACGAUGCGUAGCCGACCUGAGAGGGUGAUCGGCCACACUGGAACGGAGACACGGUCCAGACUCCUACGGGAGGCAGCAGUAGGGAAUCUUCCGCAAUGGGCGAAAGCCUGACGGAGCAACGCCGCGUGAGUGAUGAAGGUCUUCGGAUCGUAAAACUCUGUUAUUAGGGAAGAACAAAUGUGUAAGUAACUAUGCACGUCUUGACGGUACCUAAUCAGAAAGCCACGGCUAACUACGUG